rnacentral:rRNA from 1 species
UACGUAGGGUGCGAGCGUUGUCCGGAAUUAUUGGGCGUAAAGAGCUCGUAGGCGGCUUGUCGCGUCGUGUGUGAAAUCUCAGGGCUCAACUCUGACAUUGCAUACGAUACGGGCAUCACUGGAGUUCGGCAGGGGAGACUGGAAUUCCUGGUGUAGCGGUGAAAUGCGCAGAUAUCAGGAGGAACACCGGUGGCGAAGGCGGGUCUCUGGGCCGAUACUGACGCUGAGGAGCGAAAGCGUGGGGAGCGAACAGG